CCGAAAUUAGAAAGAGAAGGAGAGAGAGAGAGGCGUGAAAGAGAGAGAAGGAAGAGAAGAAAUGAAGAAGAAGGAGGAGGUCUUAGGGUAUUCAAGGGUGAUUAUCACUUGGGUGUUGAUCAUGUUGUGUUCUUGAUUUUACAAUCAAGAGAGGCUCGUUGAGAAGUUGUGGUUUUACUUUGCUUGGACCUGAGGUAAGGAAGUUAGAUAGAAUUUAUGAUUAUUAUACUAUGAAUGGUAAGACUGUUGUGUGAAUGAAAAUGUUAUGAAUUAUGAAUGCUAUAAUGUGAUGAUAUGUUGGCUUGUAUGAAUGGAUGUUAGCGUGAUAAACGCGGCACAUCAAAAUGGGUUGCUAAGGAUAUGAAGACGUAACCCGAGUUACUAAGGAUAAGAAGACGUAACUCCAAGGGCACGCGCUGAGGUUAUUCAAGGACCAGAGACUCCUAUUUACCUCAAAGGGUGGCAUGGACAAGUUAGCAGGCCAUGUUCAAAAGGAAUUGUUUAUGAUUAUGUUAUGAUGUUUGGUGAUGUUUAUGAUUAUGUUAUGAUGUUUGGUGAUGUUUAUGAUUAUGUUAUAAUGUUUUGUUAUUUUAUGAUGAUGCUAUGAUGUAUAAAGAUGAAUGAUGGUGUUUGUAAUUUGUUGUAUCUUACUUGCUUGUUGUUUGUACUUCCCUACUGGGAUUUUAGCUCACCCCCUUACUUUCCCUUCCAGGUAGCAAAUAGGUUUCUCUGUGGCACGCGUGGUGAUGUGGGGAGUUCUGUCGUCCUGGUGUGUAUGGCGUGGGGCAUCCUAUGGACGAGAAACGAUGUUAUGUUUUAUGGAAUUUUCUUAAAAUUGUUAGUGGGACUUAAUUUUUUUGUUUGUUUUAGAACUUUGCAUGAAAAUGAUAUUUUCUUUUUAAACGUUUGGGCCCAACUUGCAUUUUUUAAGUGAGACCCCACUUAAACCUUUAUAAUAAGUGGCUUUCUAUUAUAAACCAUUGAAAAUGUGAAUGUUUUAUUAAGUACUAGUUAAUGGCGUUUUACAAUACCCUCUGUUAUCCAAAAAAAUAGGCACAGGUGAUGUGGCAAACGUUUUCAAACACGUGGCUGCACCUGGCAGAGGUUCUGUUCGACCAUCGACCAGUAAGAUUCUCCUAGCGUAACAUUUGAAGUUUCUAUACGACCAGCGUGGUCGUAUACUCCGCGUAUUUCAAAGUGAUCUUGGGUAAAUCAUAAUCAAUUCCGAGAUUAUCUCCUAUGAUUCCUGAUUAUCCGAUUAAUUAAGAACAAAUAUCUGUAAAAAAUUCAUGUAAUCCUCCUUGAGCCUAUAAAUAGAGAAAGAUAGCUCAAGGAAGGGACUUUUGGCAUUUGGUUGAUUGAAGCUAUACACUUAGAAGAGAAUUAGAGCUAUUGUAUUACGAUUGUAUUAUUUUAUCUCUCUCAGGCUGGUGAAACUCAGAGAACCCUAGUUCUUUUAUCACUCCUUUGAGAGCUCAUAUCAAUAAUAGCUUAAGUGGACGUAGGUCAUUACCAGUUCUUGGGGUCGAACCAGUAUAAUUUACUGUGUUCUUUACUGUUUUUGUCAUUAUAUCUCUUCCAACACAUUUAUCCAUAUCAAGCGUUUGACUCCGUGUCAGUUGACCAAAACGAGGGUCAACAUUCUGGUGCUUUCAUUGAGAGCUUGAUACGUGAUUGUUGAAGCAUUAAUGGCGAAAACAACAAAGAAGACUGGGCAGGCGGCUAGCGCUGCACCAUCUCAACCUCCUCCUCCUCCAAACAUGGCUGAAAAUGAGCCACACUUGGAAUUUGAAGAGGAGGAACUGGAUUCCGAGACGCUGAGAAGUACCUUGGGGGUAUUGCAAGAUGAACUGGCCAAUCUGAGGGCCAGCCAAGAAAGUGCUGCGGAGAUUAUGGCACGGCAGCAACAAGAGAUAGAGCGUCAGCGCCAGGAGCUAAGUGAGAGACAAGCGGAGAUGGACCAUCGUCAGAGGGAGGCCAUGGCAGCCCUUGAAGUAGCCCUGCAGUUGGCUAGGAAUCAGGCUGCACCUGCCUCACAGCCUGGUCAACCCUCAAAUGGGCCACCCCAAAGGGGUCCCAAUCCUAGCCCUUCGAUCUAGUCGUCGAGCCCUCAAAGGCCCGAGCAGCCACCAAUGCCUCAGGAUGAUGUCCCACCAAGGGAUCCUGAAGCGCAGCCUCCAUCCCAGGCUGGUCGAGGCAAUCCCCCGCAGCCAAAGCAGAAUAGGGCCGGGCAGCAGCCCCGUAGUCCUAGACGCCAUAGGGGUGAAGAGCCGAACCCACCAAGCAGGGGACAACGUCCUUCUGGCAACAGAAGGAACUCAGAGAUAAGCUCUGCGGUCUGGGGCCCCCCACGGCAUGAUAAUGCACGGGGACCCACCGACCAACGUAGGCCACCCUCUAACGCUCGGGAAAUUCCUGCCCGAGGAGGCAACCGAGGGGAUAGUCGGUCCCACCAUAGCCAAUCAAGAUUCAAAGAUGGCCAUGGUUACAACGAGGCCGACUCAGGCAGAGGAAAUGCCGGUCAGAGAAACGAAGAGAGAGGUGGGGGCAGAAGCCCACCACCACCUAGAGAAGACC